rnacentral:lncRNA from 1 species
GUGACUGAAGAGAAUGAAAAUGAUUGUAUUAAUUGUCUCUUAUCGAACUUUUGUACACAAGGCCAAUAUAUGUAGGCCCUUUACAAAAAUAUUCUCAUAGCUGUAAAGAAUAAAAUAUGAAUGCUAUAUUACAUGUUCAGCAACGGAUAGACAAAACAGAAUGCUAGUAGCAUAAUAAACUUGUAUCUAGUGCAAAUUUCUUAUUUUCUUUUAGAGAGUUUCUUCUUUCCUCCUUGUUGAGGUGUUGUCAAUUGUUGAUACGUCUCUUGCUGAUUGUAUUGUUGUUUAUUUUAAUUUCCAAAUUAGCAGCUCUAUUAACUUCUAAUAGCCCCUCGUAAGAUGGUGAGUAUACAUCCAUUACUCCCAUCUUGAGCAUAUAUGAGUAAAAAUUUUGAGAACUUAAUAUAUCUGCUAUUUGUGAUAUGCUAGAUACAUGCUUAGUGACAAUGCUUCCACCUUAAAUUUUAUCUCGAAUUAAAUGACUAUCGAGUUCUACAUGCUUAGUCCUUUCAUGAAAUAUCGGGUUUGUAGUAGUGUGAACGGCAGACUUAUUAUGACAAUACAGGAAAACAGCUUGAGGAUGAGCUACCUGCAAGUCUUCAAAUAAAUAUCUGAGCCAUGUCAAUUCACAACAUAAAUUGGCCACGGCUCUGUAUUCUACCUUUGAAGAGGAUCUUGAAACAAUAUGUCGCUUUUUAGACUUCCAUGACACCAAUGACUUUCCAAUUAAAACACAAUAUCCAGUUACUGAUCGCCUGGUAUUAGAACAAGCACCCCAGUCUGAAUCACCGUAUCCAUGUAACCGUAUCUUCGAAUUUAUUGGAUAAAAUAUCCCUUGGCUUGGAGCUCUUUUGAUAUACCUUAGAACUUUUUGUGCUGCGUCCAGAUAUGGAAUCUGAGAACUUUCCGUAAAUUGGCUCAAUAACAAGACCGGAUAUGAAAUAUCAGGCCUAGUUAUAGUUAAGUACAAUAAUCGACCAACCAAUAUCCUAUAAAGUGCAAGUUUAGGAAGAAGCUCUAUUUUAUCUUUGGUUAAUUACACAUUUUGAUCCAAAGGUAUUCUUGCAGGUGGUGAACCAGUUGUCCAAGAGGCACUAAAAAUUUCAAGAGCAUACUUUCUCUGGCAAACAUAAAUACCCUGUGCAAACCUGGCCACUUCUAUGCUGAUGAAGUAUUUUAAUUUACCAAGGUCUUCGAUUCUAAACUUGUCAUAAAGUAAGGCUUUGAGAUGAUUGAUUGUAUCAAUGCAAUCACCUGCCACAAUUAUGUCAUCAACAUAUACUAGGACAAUAGUAAAAUAAAUGUCAAUACUCUUAGUGAACAAGCUAUAAUCUACCUUUGAUUGAAUAUACCCUUGCUCAAUAAUAAAGUUGGAAAGUUUAGAAUACCAGUGACGUGAUGCUUGCUUCAACCCAUACGAGCUUUUUUUUUUUUUUUUUUGAGUUUGCAUACUUUUUUGGUAUCACCAUUUAAGUAGCCGAGAGGAAGUUCCAUGUACACUUCUUCAUCUAACUCACCAUGCAAAAAAACGUUAUUAACAUCAAACUGAAAAAGGUUCUAUCCCUUUAUUGUCGCUACAGCUAACAAGGCUCUGACUGUGACAAGUAUGGCAAUUAAUCUUGCUUUGAAUCGUUCUAUGCUACCAUCAGCAUUGAAUUUAAUUUUGUGUACCCAUCUACAAUCUACGGUUAUCUUAUCAGAAGGUAACUUAACUAAAACCUAAGUGUCAUUAAGUUCAAGAGCGUUAAUCUCAGCAUUCAUGGCUGCACACCAUUUGGGAAAAUUUUUGGCUUCUUAGUAGUUUCUAGGUUCAAAUUGGGAAGUGAUAGAACUUACAAAAGCUUUAUGUGGAGUUGAUAACUUUUCAUAAGAAACAUUAGCAUUGAGAAGGUAGUGAUUACCUGAGGGGUGUUGUCCCUUUAGCCUGUCGAACUCUUGAGAUGGGUGAAGAGAGGUAGCCUGUUGACAUAUGAAAUCUUGGAGAUGAGCUGGGGUUAUUCGAAUUCUCAUCUACCUUCGAGGCAAGUGAGUAAUAGAAGUGGUAUUUGAUGGUGAAUCAAAGGUAUUAAGGUUUUGAGGAUCAUCGAUAGAAUUAGUUUGAGGUUCAUCAUGGUUAGAGGUUUGUGGAAUGUUUUCCACGGAUUGUUUAACUUCAGAAUUUGUUUCUGGCGAGUCAACAUCUUGAAAAGUAUUUGGAAUUUGUGUGGCAAUAACAUUUUUAUUGUGGACAAUAGGAUCUUGAGUAAAACUGACAUUGUUUUUAUCUUAUUGGAAUUGAGUGUUAUUUAUGGAAUCAUCACUUUUGAAAGGAAAAAUGUUCCCAUAGAAAACUACGUUCUUAGAGACAAAGAUUUUCUUGGUUUCAAGUUCUAACAGAGUAUAUCCCUUAAUCCCAAAAGGAUAGCCUAUAAACUCACAUCUUUUCGCCCUGGGUUCAAAUUUAUGUCUUAUUGACAAUAGUAGUGGUAAAAGCUAGGCAAUCAAAAACUUUAAGAUGGGAGUAAUUCGGCCUUUUAUUGAGUAGGAAUUGAUAAGGGCUUUUGUCAUUCAACCUGGAAGAGGGUGUCCUAUUUAUGAGAUAUACAACAAUUAAAUUGCAAUGGUUUCUGAAAAGUCGAGAGAUACUAAUAUUAACCAAGAUUCUAAAACCACAAUUUUAAACUGAAAAUAAAGUGCAGAAAAUAAAAUGAAUACGGAGAAUUUUUCGGCCCAAGCCCCAAAGGUUCGACGACCUCUUCUAACGCCUAAUCCCCCGUUGAGCAUCCAUUAAAAUGGAUAAAGCUUGAUUGCACCAUAAAACCCCAAAAAUAGGCAGCCAGUAUACAAUAAUGUUCCAAAAUAUUACAAAGAAAUAAGUCACAGAAACUUAUCUUAUGAAGAAUAACAAAACUGGUCUCUAUUCCACAAAGGAAUCACACUAGAUCACAAAGAUCUCACAAAAAACAUGAACUGCCCUCUUUUGAGUUAUUCAACAUCAAAAACUUAUUACCCAGCAACUAACAUUCCACCAAGGAACACAAUAAAACCAAACACUACCACACAUAGGAAGAGGCUGAGACCACUAAGAUCUCACAUGAAAUCGGGUAAAACUCAAAUCCCAUAGAUUUGACUUAACCAAAACUGAAAUUGAACAAUAACCAUAUGGAUCUACAAUAUUUCUUGAUGAUAAUUGGUUUUAUUUUCAGAAAAUAUUCCAAGAAUCAAGCCCUAAUCUCAUUAAGUAGAAAAAGGGUUUUUUGUAAAGAUAAGAGAGAGAGAGAUGAAGGGCCGAAUUUUCAGAGAGAAGAGAGAGAGAGAGAGAGAGAGAGAGACUUUUUCCUUUUGGAAAGUGAGACGUGAGAGAGAGAAAGUUGCAGGCUGGAAGAAAAAAG